rnacentral:rRNA from 1 species
AGAGUUUGAUCAUGGCUCAGAUUGAACGCUGGCGGCAUGCCUAACACAUGCAAGUCGAACGGCAGCACAGCAGUAGCAAUACUGUGGGUGGCGAGUGGCGGACGGGUGAGUAAUGCAUCGGGAUCUACCCAAACGUGGGGGAUAACGUAGGGAAACUUACGCUAAUACCGCAUACGUCCUAUGGGAGAAAGCGGGGGACCGAAAGGCCUCGCGCGGUUGGACGAACCGAUGUGCGAUUAGCUAGUUGGUAGGGUAAUGGCCUACCAAGGCGACGAUCGCUAGCUGGUCUGAGAGGAUGAUCAGCCACACUGGAACUGAGACACGGUCCAGACUCCUACGGGAGGCAGCAGUGGGGAAUAUUGGACAAUGGGCGCAAGCCUGAUCCAGCAAUGCCGCGUGUGUGAAGAAGGCCUUCGGGUUGUAAAGCACUUUUAUCAGGAGCGAAAUACUACUGGCUAAUAACCGGUGGGGCUGACGGUACCUGAGGAAUAAGCACCGGCUAACUUCGUGCCAGCAGCCGCGGUAAUACGAAGGGUGCAAGCGUUAAUCGGAAUUACUGGGCGUAAAGCGUGCGUAGGCGGUUAUUUAAGUCUGUUGUGAAAUCCCCGGGCUCAACCUGGGAAUGGCAAUGGAUACUGGAUAGCUAGAGUGUGAUAGAGGAUGGUGGAAUUCCCGGUGUAGCGGUGAAAUGCGUAGAGAUCGGGAGGAACAUCAGUGGCGAAGGCGGCCAUCUGGAUCAACACUGACGCUGAGGCACGAAAGCGUGGGGAGCAAACAGGAUUAGAUACCCUAGUAGUCC